GAUGAACGCUGGCGGCGUGCCUAAUACAUGCAAGUCGAGCGAACAGAUGAGGAGCUUGCUCCUCUGACGUUAGCGGCGGACGGGUGAGUAACACGUGGAUAACCUACCUAUAAGACUGGGAUAACUUCGGGAAACCGGAGCUAAUACCGGAUAAUAUAUUGAACCGCAUGGUUCAAUAGUGAAAGACGGUUUUGCUGACACUUAUAGAUGGAUCCGCGCCGCAUUAGCUAGUUGGUAAGGUAACGGCUUACCAAGGCAACGAUGCGUAGCCGACCUGAGAGGGUGAUCGGCCACACUGGAACUGAGACACGGUCCAGACUCCUACGGGAGGCAGCAGUAGGGAAUCUUCCGCAAUGGGCGAAAGCUUGACGGAGCAACGCCGCGUGAGUGAUGAAGGUCUUCGGAUCGUAAAACUCUGUUAUUAGGGAAGAACAAAUGUGUAAGUAACUAUGCACGUCUUGACGGUACCUAAUCAGAAAGCCACGGCUAACUACGUG
rnacentral:rRNA from 1 species